rnacentral:rRNA from 1 species
GCCAAAGGUGCGGAGCGGAGAGAGGUAGCUUGCUACCGAUCUUAGCGGCGGACGGGUGAGUAAUGCUUAGGAAUCUGCCUAUUAGUGGGGGACAACAUUUCGAAAGGAAUGCUAAUACCGCAUACGUCCUACGGGAGAAAGCAGGGGAUCUUCGGACCUUGCGCUAAUAGAUGAGCCUAAGUCGGAUUAGCUAGUUGGUGGGGUAAAGGCCUACCAAGGCGACGAUCUGUAGCGGGUCUGAGAGGAUGAUCCGCCACACUGGGACUGAGACACGGCCCAGACUCCUACGGGAGGCAGCAGUGGGGAAUAUUGGACAAUGGGCGCAAGCCUGAUCCAGCCAUGCCGCGUGUGUGAAGAAGGCCUUAUGGUUGUAAAGCACUUUAAGCGAGGAGGAGGCUACUUUAGUUAAUACCUAGAGAUAGUGGACGUUACUCGCAAAAUAAGCACCGGCUAACUCUGUGCCAGCAGCCGCGGUAAUACAGAGGGUGCAAGCGUUAAUCGGAUUUACUGGGCGUAAAGCGCGCGUAGGCGGCUAAUUAAGUCAAAUGUGAAAUCCCCGAGCUUAACUUGGGAAUUGCAUUCGAUACUGGUUAGCUAGAGUGUGGGAGAGGAUGGUAGAAUUCCAGGUGUAGCGGUGAAAUGCGUAGAGAUCUGGAGGAAUACCGAUGGCGAAGGCAGCCAUCUGGCCUAACACUGACGCUGAGGUGCGAAAGCAUGGGGAGCAAACAGGAUUAGAUACCCUGGUAGUCCAUGCCGUAACGAUGUCUACUAGCCGUUGGGGGCCUUUGAGGCUUUAGUGGCGCAGCUAACGCGAUAAGUAGACCGCCUGGGGAGUACGGUC